rnacentral:rRNA from 1 species
GUGGGGAAUCUUAGACAAUGGGCGCAAGCCUGAUCUAGCGAUGCCGCGUGAGUGAAGAAGGUCUUAGGAUCGUAAAGCUCUUUCGCCAGGGAUGAUAAUGACAGUACCUGGUAAAGAAGUCCCGGCUAACUCCGUGCCAGCAGCCGCGGUAAUACGGAGGGGACUAGCGUUGUUCGGAAUUACUGGGCGUAAAGCGCGCGUAGGCGGACCAAAAAGUAAGAGGUGAAAUCCCAGGGCUCAACCCUGGAACUGCCUUUUAAACUCUUGGUCUUGAGUUCGAGAGAGGUGAGUGGAAUUCCAAGUGUAGAGGUGAAAUUCGUAGAUAUUUGGAGGAACACCAGUGGCGAAGGCGGCUCACUGGCUCGAUACUGACGCUGAGGUGCGAAAGCGUGGGGAGCAAACAGG